GACGAACGCUGGCGGCGUGCUUAACACAUGCAAGUCGAACGGAAAGGCCCUUUCGGGGGUACUCGAGUGGCGAACGGGUGAGUAACACGUGGGUGAUCUGCCCUGCACUUUGGGAUAAGCCUGGGAAACUGGGUCUAAUACCGGAUAGGACCACGGUCUGCAUGGAUUGUGGUGGAAAGCUUUUGCGGUGUGGGAUGGGCCCGCGGCCUAUCAGCUUGUUGGUGGGGUGAUGGCCUACCAAGGCGACGACGGGUAGCCGGCCUGAGAGGGUGUCCGGCCACACUGGGACUGAGAUACGGCCCAGACUCCUACGGGAGGCAGCAGUGGGGAAUAUUGCACAAUGGGCGCAAGCCUGAUGCAGCGACGCCGCGUGGGGGAUGACGGCCUUCGGGUUGUAAACCUCUUUCAGUAUCGGCGAAGCUCCCGGGUUUUCUUGGGGGUGACGGUAGGUACAGAAGAAGCACCGGCCAACUACGUGCCAGCAGCCGCGGUAAUAC
rnacentral:rRNA from 1 species